UACGUAGGGGGCUAGCGUUGUCCGGAAUCAUUGGGCGUAAAGAGCGUGUAGGCGGCCAGAAAAGUCCGCUGUGAAAACUCGAGGCUCAACUUCGAGCUGUCGGUGGAAACUUUCUGGCUAGAGUCCGGAAGAGGAGAAUGGAAUUCCUGGUGUAGCGGUGAAAUGCGUAGAUAUCUGGAGGAACACCGGUGGCGAAGGCGGCAUCCUGGACCGGCAUUGACGCUGAGGCGCGAAAGCUAGGGGAGCAAACGGG
rnacentral:rRNA from 1 species